rnacentral:tRNA from 2 species
GCCGAGGUGGCAGAGCGGACUAACGCGGCAGGCUCGAGACCUGUUUUACCUUCUGGUAAGCUAGGGUUCAAAUCCCUACCUCGGCGCCA